UCUUAUGAAUGAGCAAAGAAAGUGGCUUCUUGUUUCUUGAGAUGGAAUCUACUCCUGGUGAAGAUGCUGUGAA
rnacentral:pre_miRNA from 1 species